rnacentral:lncRNA from 1 species
CUCUGCAUCCCUAGAGGAAGAGAGCCCGCCUGGGCGCCCCUGAGCCGCUCCCCAGGGGAGAGAGGAGAUCUCUGUUUACUCAAGACCGAAAGCAGCCGGAUUCAAGGUAUUCCAGACAACUCAGGCCCAUCUGCUACACUUGAUGGAAGAAGGGAUCGUGUAUCUUCUGCAAAGGAGAGCCAGAGAGAGUGCUGCUGGAGACGGGUAACUCAGCAGCAACAUCUCACAGAAACACAGGCAGGAAGGAAUGAUCCACUGGAUGAUGUCGCCCACUUGAAAGAACGGUGGGCAUAGCUACGGGUGGAUAAACACAGAACACUGCGUGCAGCAAGGCUCGAAGAACAGUAGUGCAGGUAAGUGAGGCCGGGACUUAAGCGAAGGUGGAACCGUUCCAGCCCACAUUGGCUGCGUUCAUGUCAUAAUAGUUGAUGCAGACCCAGUCCCGGCUGAUGUGCAGGUGAUCAGACAGCAGGCCACACAUCAGCUUGAUGUAGUGGUG